AAUGGAGGAAACUCUGACGCAGCGACGCCGCGUGAGCGAUGAAGGCUUUCGGGUCGUAAAGCUCUGUCAAUAGGGAAGAAAGCGGUGAGGGUAAUAUCCUCAUCGACUGACGGUACCUAUAAAGGAAGCACCGGCUAACUACGUGCCAGCAGCCGCGGUAAUACGUAGGGUGCCAGCGUUGUUCGGAAUCAUUGGGCGUAAAGCGCGUGUAGGUUGUUAUGCCAGUCAGAUGUGAAAGCCCUGGGCUCAACCGAGGAAGUGCAUCUGAAACUACAUAACUAGAGAUCGGUAGAGGGAGGUGGAAUUCCUAGUGUAGAGGUGAAAUUCGUAGAUAUUAGGAGGAAUACCGGUGGCGAAGGCGGCCUCCUGGACCGAUUCUGACACUGAGACGCGAAAGCGUGGGGAGCAAACAGGAUU
rnacentral:rRNA from 1 species